GAGGUAAUCUCAAAUUGUAACAGUGGGUUGAUUUCCUUGGGUGAAUCCUCCGGAGCCUUGCGUGCGUCCUCUCAACUAGAGGACGGCGCGAGUGUCUCCCGGAAAACGUGUUCGCUAUACCCACGUUACAGAUUGGGGUUUCCCC
rnacentral:pre_miRNA from 1 species